AUGGUUAAUGAUUCACCCACAGCCCUCAGGGAGCUCCUUUCAGCAGGGGCAACAGAUGCACUUACACAUUCUCUCUCUCUUUCUGUCUCUCUUUCUCUCUUUCAUCUUCAACUCUUCUUUACCCAGCAAGAGGCGGGUGUCCAACAAAUUGCUUGGCAACGCGCGGAGGAAACUCCAUCCAAAGCCCGGGUCUGCCGGGUCCAGCCGCCUCUGGGCGCUGUCCAGCGGGCAGAGCGCCUGAGAGGCCAGGCAGGGGUCCUGUCUCCGGACACCCCGAAGGUGGUCCAGCCAGACUCAGCAAAAGAAGGAAGCAACUUGUGCGAGGUCCUAAUCGCAUUAAAUUAAGGAGAAGCGAGAAAGAUGACAAAUACAGAAUUGUGGCUCAUAGUGGAACUGACAUCCUUCCCCACAGAGGAUGAAGGGACUUGCAGAGGACUUGAGGAGGUGGUGCCUUGAGACCCCUGGAGGAAAACACACCAAGGAUAACAAACAAUUCCAUUUAACUUGAUAGAGUUCCAGCUCUCAUGGCUGCAACAGUCAG
rnacentral:lncRNA from 1 species